rnacentral:rRNA from 1 species
UCUGGUUGAUCCUGCCAGUGCGCUAUACGCUCUUUUUAAAGAUUAAGCCAUGCAUAUGCCAAGUUCAUACAUUACAAUGUGAGACUGUGGAAGGCUCAGUAUAUCAGUUAUAAUCUACUCGAUUGUUAAGGUUAUUGGAUAACCGUGGGAAAUCUAGAGCUAAUACAUGCACCUUUGGUACAUGGGCAACUGUGUAUCAUUGCAUUUAUUAGAUCAAUACCAACCGUACCAAGGUUGAAAGACUUUGGGACGUGGUGAAUCUAGAUAACUUCGCAGAUCGUAUGGCCUCGAGCCGGCGACAUUUCGAUUGAAUUUCUGCCCUAUCAACUUUUGUCGGCAGUUUAGUGGACUGCCGAGGUUAUUACGGGUAACGGGGGAUCAGGGUUCGAUUCCGGAGAGGGAGCCUGAGAAAUGGCUACCACAUCCAAGGAUGGCAGCAGGCGCGCAAAUUACCCAAUCCAGAUAAUGGGAGGUGGUGACGAAAAGUACCGAAUGACGGCCUAUGGUCGUUAGUUUGGAAUGGAAACAAUUUAAGCAAUUGAUUUGAGUAACAACUGGAGGGCAAGUCUGGUGCCAGCAGCCGCGGUAAUUCCAGCUCCAGUAGCGUAUCUCAAAGUUGCUGCGCUUAAAACGCUCGUAGUUGGAUCACUGAGCAUCUUCCGGCAGUAGUAAAAUGUGUUUUGGUUUCUGUCCUUGCGAAACCUGGCCGUGCGUUCUCGUGCAGCUACGGUGAUGGGACUGCCUACGCUUUUGCGACGUUAAAGCCGGAGGAUGAUUAUUGCACGUGAGAAUGACUGUUGACCUUUAGUGCGUUGAUAGUCGUGUCUUACGGGGUGUGCCUUGAGUAAAUCAGAGUGCUUAAAGCGGGGAGUGAUGCCUGAAUGUUGAUAGCAUGGAACGAACAAUUGUGUAUGGUGUGUGCCGAAUAUAGUGUUUUAAUGUUUAUCAUUGAUUCACUUCGGUACACGACACCGACCGCCAAUUACGGAUGUUGGUUCCGUAUUGGGGUACUGAUUAAGAGGAGCGGUUGGGGGCAUUGGUAUUUAGCAGCGAGAGGUGAAAUUCUUAGACCUGCUAAGGACUAACAAAUGCGAAGGCAUCUGCCCAGACCGUAUCCAUUAAUCAAGAACGAAAGUGAGAGGUUCGAAGACGAUCAGAUACCGUCCUAGUUCUCACUGUAAACGAUGCCGACCCGGGAUCAGUUUGGAGCAAUUUUCCACGCUCGAGGUUGGUCCCCCUGGGAAACCUAAAGUUUUUCGGUUGCGGGGGGAGUAUGGUCGCAAGGCUGAAACUUAAAGGAAUUGACGGAAGGGCACCACCAGGGGUGGAGCCUGCGGCUUAAUUUGACUCAACACGGGGAAACUUACCUGGUCCGGACAUUAAAAGGAUAUACAGACCAAGAGAUCUUUAUUGAUAUGAUGAUUGGUGGUGCAUGGCCGUUCUUAGUUCGUGGAGUGAUCUGUCAGACUUAUCUCGGUAACGAACGAGAGCACAUUCUCCAUUUGGCGCGCCGUUGAAGUCAAGUUUCGCUGGUCCAAAGUUGAAAAACUUUGUUCUGCGAUUUUUGGUGCCGGUCAGCAUGCGCGUCAGCCGCCCGCCUAUGUAAAGUGUUGCGGCAACGUAGUACUCUAUGUUGGUGAGCGGACAGCGUGUUUGCUCCCUUCGGUGUAACAGUGUGCCAGUCGAAAGGUUGGCACAUUGUACCAUGGAGAGACAGCGGAAUAUAUUGCAAAAUCCGAGGAAGAGUGGCUAUAACAGGUCUGUGAUGCCCUUAGAUGUUCAGGGCUGCACGCGCGCUACAAUGGUGGUGACAACGAGUGUCUGGAUCGAAAGAUUUGGGUAAUCUUGUAAUCACCACCGUGAUGGGGAUCGACGUUUGUAAUUACGUCGUGAAAGAGGAAUCCCUAGUACGUGCGAUUCAUGAAAUCGCGCGGAUUCAGUCCCUGCCCUUUGUACACACCGCCCGUCGCUACUACCGAGUGAAUGGUGCCAUAAUACCUUGGGAGCGGACGUCGUUACUGGGCUCACGCCUGGGAGGACGCUGCGAUCAGCGUAGAAUGAUGCAU